AAAUAAUAUCUUAAAACAUCGAAUUUGAACCAAAUUAUUGCUAAUCUAUUAUGAGGCUAAGCACACUCCCUCUCUUUAGGCCUAGCCCAACAUUAGUUACCCUAGCAUACCUGGCUACCUGCGCCUGUCCCUCUCCUCAUUUUCUCCGUUUCACCCUCGCAACCAAAAACAGCCGCACCGAAUGUAAAGCCGCACGGCUCGCACCAACUUCUUCCUCAAGCUUCUUUGUCUCUCUACAAACUAUCGAUUCUCUUUCUCUGCAACAAUGGCUGUUGCCCCGUAUCAAUCGCCUGAAAGCUUCUUAGCUUGACAGUUCGAUUUUGGAUCUUUUUCCUGCUUCCGCUACAUCUUCUGAAUACUUUUGUUUUGCGAAUCUCUGCAAUUCUAGGGUUUCGUGUUCUUCCCCAAUUCUAUCAAAUUCUGAUUCUUUGUUUCCUUUGUCCACUUUCAGUUCACGGUUUUCGAGAUGUCCAAUGAUUCAAGAAUACUCCAUUUGGUUUUGUGUUCUUCCCCAAUUCUAUCAAAUUCUGAUUCUCUGUUUCUUUCGUUCACCUUCGGUUCACGGUUUCGAGAUGGCCAGUGAUCCAAGAAUACUCCAUUUUUGACGGUUUCGAGAUGGCCAGUGACCCAAGAAUACUCAAUUUGUAAGUGUUUUUUGUUUAUAAAUUAGUAAGUGUUUUUUGUUCAUAAAUUAGUGAUUAUGUUUUCACUUUAUUACUAUUUGCAUGAUUAUGUUUUCACUUUAUUACUAUUUGUAUGAUUAAGUUUUCACUUUA